AGCUUUGCGCAGUGGCAGUAGUGUAGCCAAUGAGGUUUAUCCAAGGCACGAUUAUUGCUAAUUA
rnacentral:snRNA from 1 species